GAUCAUGGCUCAGGAUGAACGCUGGCGGCGUGCUUAACACAUGCAAGUCGAGCGAAGCACUUAAGUUUGAUUCUUCGGAUGAAGACUUUUGUGACUGAGCGGCGGACGGGUGAGUAACGCGUGGGUAACCUGCCUCAUACAGGGGGAUAACAGUUAGAAAUGACUGCUAAUACCGCAUAAGACCACGGUACCGUUCAUGGUACAGUGGUAAAAACUCCGGUGGUAUGAGAUGGACCCGCGU
rnacentral:rRNA from 1 species